rnacentral:rRNA from 1 species
UACAGAGGGGGCAAGCGUUAUUCGGAAUUAUUGGGCGUAAAGGGCGCGUAGGCGGCCUGGCAAGUGGAAGGUGAAAUCCCUCGGCUUAACCGAGGAGCUGCCCUCCAAACUGCUUGGCUUGAGUCCGGGAGAGGUGAGUGGAAUUCCCAGUGUAGCGGUGAAAUGCGUAGAUAUUGGGAGGAACACCAGUGGCGAAGGCGGCUCACUGGACCGGAACUGACGCUGAGGCGCGAAAGCGUGGGGAGCAAACGGG